UGUCUACCGGUUCCGCAGUGGUAGAAAGG
rnacentral:piRNA from 1 species